CCUACGGGGGGCAGCAGUGAGGAAUAUUGGUCAAUGGGCGCGAGCCUGAACCAGCCAAGUCGCGUGAGGGAAGACGGCCCUACGGGUUGUAAACCUCUUUUGCCGGGGAGCAACGGGCGCCACGUGUGGCGCCACUGAGAGUACCCGGAGAAAAAGCAUCGGGUAACUCCGUGCCCGCAGCCGCGGUAAUACGGAGGUUGCGAGCGUUAUCCGGAUUUAUGGGGUUAAAAGGGUGCGUAGGCGGAGCGUUAAGUCAGUGGUAAAAUUGAGGGGCUAAACCCCUUCCCGCCAUUGAAACUGGCGCUCUUGAGUGGAAGAGAAGUAUGCGGAAUGCGUGGUGUAGCGGUGAAAUGCAUAGAUAUCACGCAGAACCCCGAUUGCGAAGGCAGCAUGCCGGCUUCCUACUGACGCUGAAGCACGAAAGCGUGGGGAUCGAACAGGAUUAGAUACCCCUGUAGUC
rnacentral:rRNA from 1 species